UCAAACUGUCCAGUCUAAAAACCAAUCGUGCACCAAAGGUGAUUAGGUGACGUAGUAAUUGAGGUGACGGCAAAGUGCAAGCAUAAACUGGCACAAAGGAAGCUGGAAAAUUAACAUCACCUGAAAAGUAAACGUUAAUUCAUAGUACGGUGUCUCGGAUAUGGGCCAGUCGACCCACAUCUUGAUUGGAAGUACUCUGUCUGAUUUAUUUCGUCCAUGGUUUUCUGGAAUAUACACCAGUAGCAACUUAUAUAGAUAUGGAAAAGAUCAGUUGUUCCUCGGAAUUGUAAUUAUCAUGCCAGAAGUGGCGUUGCGCAUGGGAAAAAAACGUCUGCUAAUUUAGCUCUAUUAAAAUUUAUGAUCAGCAUCUUAAUUGUUGUCAUACAGAUACACAUCACGUUCAGUAUCAGGAACAUACUGUGCUGAAAACGCAAUACAUUCGUUGAUGAAAAAAUUUUUCAUUGAAUACUGCAACAAAAGCAGCUUCACAGAUUUUUUAUCAACAGAAUUUUAAAGUAACUGUUUAAAAAGUUAUCACUUCGUACAGUGUCAAAUUAACACAUUCUUCCUAACAACUCAAUCUAGCUCACUGACGUGGUUACUUACAGAUGCAUCGCCCCAUGAGUGUUCUUCUGCAGCAUUUCGUGACACCCAUACUCCUGUGUACUUUGUUAUAAAUGUCGCUGAAGCAAUGGAAAAAUCCGUGUACGAUCCGAUAUCCAUGGUGAUUGUCGAUGAAGUGACUCAUUUGCUUUUGACGUAUAGUGUAGCCGUUGCAACAACAUCAAAGACGUCACAAAGAUAUUGAGUGACAUGACACCACUGUAAUUAACAAGGCACGUUCAUAAUCUAGUACAAAGGUUUUUCCCUUCUCAUGCGCACCUUCAGUCAUAAAACAUGGGGUUGCCUUCAUAGGAACGAUGAUGUACAGAUCGAACCAUGAAUUAUUCUUCGAAUGUAGACCACUAUUAAAGCACGAGGUGAGGUGUAGUUGAAGCGACGAUAAGGUGUGAGGUUCAAGUUGGAGAUAAGCAAACUGGGAGAUAUACAAUAAAGACUCGAUAUGUGUUCAGAAUUUGGGACCGACGAGGAACAUUUAGCGAACAGAAGAUUCGAUUCUGCUAACCGUUUGUAUUUUGCCGACGUCGACGAACGUAGAAAGAGACAGUAGAUAAAAGGAGAAGAUGGAUUCGGGCUGACAUAAGAGUUAAAAAUUAAAUGCCUACAUUCAUAACGGGCCGUACUCACUUGAACAUUUUUGCCCGAACGAACGUUUCCGGCGCAUAAAUGCACAGGUAGUGAAGAUGCUGGUGGCUGUGGUGGUGGUGUUCGCUAUCUGCUGGGGUCCAAUUCUCGUAGACAACACCCUCACCGCCUAUGGUGUCCUACCACGAGUGAAGUGGGGAAUGCACAAACAUCUUAACACCGCGUUUCAAUUUCCUUUUUUAACAGCUGCAUUUAUGUCAAACCAGUUCACGAAGAGAUUCUUAUCCGCAACUUGCGGUGGUUGGUGGAUCUGUUGUUUAAAAAGAGGGCACAGGGCUCCGUUGAAGAGACGCCCUAGCCUCAGCGAAAUCACGACGACCAGUGUCAGGUACUUAGGCGGGUCGUCUUAACCUAACGAGGAACAGCAAGUGUAGCCGAAGAAUCAUUGUUUUUAAUUUCAGAUUGAUAUGAAUAAAUAUAAAUCGUAUACACCACUUCCUCGACAGAAAAAAAGAAAAAGAAAUGCAAUGUAUGCGUUUGUUUAGUCGUGUAAUUUGCAGAUGAAAAAAAAUUCUUCCUUUCUGUCGUCGUUCCUCUGCUUUGAAUGAUAUUUCGCGAUAAUCUAUCCGAUGAAAGCGCAAUACAGGUGCACGAUAAGCCAGGUCCGUAAGGUGGUGAUUACAACUUGGAUGGCAUCGUUCUUUCUUAGUAUUCCAAUGAUUUUCGUCUAGACACACAAAGUGAUGGAAAUAAGGGUGAUCACUUGCUGGUGCGUCCGUGAUUCUGAUGCGGGUCUUUUGUGACGUGGACACGAAAUUUACAUGCUCAUCUUAAUUCUGGUAUUACCUCUGUUACGUCCGGGUAUUUUUCAAAAACCCGACCUUGCGUUCUUCAUCGGGUGCGACGCACAUGGAAGUAGAAAAUCCAGGCGGGGCACACAAAGGAGGCUAUAUUUUAGUUUCUUUCAAAUAAUACAGCCAAUCUUCCUUGAAACUAUUGCCGUGCCGAAACUGCGUAGUUCCAUAGGAUACGAAGCAAAGACCUGCUUCUCC